rnacentral:rRNA from 1 species
CCCAGUUCGGAUUGUAGGCUGCAACUCGCCUACAUGAAGUCGGAGUUGCUAGUAAUCGCGGAUCAGAAUGCCGCGGUGAAUGCGUUCCCGGGUCUUGUACACACCGCCCGUCACACCAUGGAAGUUGGGGGCGCCCGAAGUUGCCUAAGAAAUAAGGUACCUAAGGCGAAACCAAUGACUGGGGUGAAGUCGUAACAAGGUAAC